ACGGAAGGCAGCAGUGGGGAAUAUUGCACAAUGGGGGAAACCCUGAUGCAGCGACGCCGCGUGAAGGAAGAAGUAUCUCGGUACGUAAACUUCUAUCAGCAGGGAAGAUAGUGACGGUACCUGACUAAGAAGCCCCGGCUAACUACGUGCCAGCAGCCGCGGUAAUACGUAGGGGGCAAGCGUUAUCCGGAUUUACUGGGUGUAAAGGGAGCGUAGACGGUGUGGCAAGUCUGAUGUGAAAGGCAUGGGCUCAACCUGUGGACCGCAUUGGAAACUGUCAUACUUGAGUGCCGGAGGGGUAAGCGGAAUUCCUAGUGUAGCGGUGAAAUGCGUAGAUAUUAGGAGGAACACCAGUGGCGAAGGCGGCUUACUGGACGGUAACUGACGUUGAGGCUCGAAAGCGUGGGGAGCAAACAGGAUUAGAUACCCUGGUA
rnacentral:rRNA from 1 species